CGCCAUUACAGCGAGGUCAUUAUCAACGGCUUUUCAACGCACGGCGCGAGGCAGCCAUGUUGGAUUGAGGCAGCCAUGUUGGAUUAAGACUGCACCCAACUGACAUCUCAGGCCUGCAACGAUCCUCUCAUUCAAAGAGAACCAGUCAGAUCCAAGUCUGUUGUGGAGAACGUGGAUAAAAGCUGCUCUGUGGCGCAUGAAGUUAAAGAUCCUUGACUUCCCGAGUCUAAAGACACCCAGGUCUUCUGCGUUGUACGGCCCAUAGAGAGCACUAGAGACUCCUGCUGAAGAGCUAGCUAACCUCUGGUUUAGCGCCUGGCUAACUUUAAUAGGAAUUACAUGAUUUCAUUAUGUUGCUCUUUUAGAUUUCAGAUCAAAAUAUGAAAGUGAAACUACGCCUCAAGGAUGUACCCACCGUUUCUUUCACAGUAUUAGUUUACGUGCACACGUGACUUUAAAGACUGCGUCAGGACACUCCCACGCAGAGUUUAAAACCUGGCAACUCCCCCCUCCCAGCUAGUGAGAACUGAAGAAGCCUUUUGGAUGAGAGGUGAGACAUCUUCAAGAAACUGAAACAAGACUGUUGAUGCCUGUUGAAGUUCCACAGCUGUCUACAGCAGGAAGUUGUUGACUUUCGCCGUCUGACAAACUUGUUGGACGUCCACACAUUCUCCAAAGGACACGGUUGCUGAGCUCAAGAGGAGCUGAAUAAACUUUGGUUGCCCCGUUUC